GACGAUGCGUAGGGGUUCUGAGAGGAAGGUCCCCCACACUGGUACUGAGACACGGACCAGACUCCUACGGGAGGCAGCAGUGAGGAAUAUUGGUCAAUGGGCGCGAGCCUGAACCAGCCAAGUCGCGUGAGGGAUGACGGUCCUACGGAUUGUAAACCUCUUUUGCCGGGGAGCAAGCGUGCGUUCGUGAACGCGCGUCGAGAGUACCCGGAGAAAAAGCAUCGGCUAACUCCGUGCCAGCAGCCGCGGUAAUACGGAGGAUGCGAGCGUUAUCCGGAUUUAUUGGGUUUAAAGGGUGCGUAGGCGGGAUGCCAAGUCAGCGGUAAAAAUGCGGUGCUCAACGCCGUCGAGCCGUUGAAACUGGCGUUCUUGAGUGGGCGAGAAGUAUGCGGAAUGCGUGGUGUAGCGGUGAAAUGCAUAGAUAUCACGCAGAACUCCGAUUGCGAAGGCAGCAUACCGGCGCCCUACUGACGCUGAGGCACGAAAGCGUGGGUAUCGAACAGGAUUAGAUACCCUGGUAGUCCACGCAGUAAACGAUGAAUGCUAACU
rnacentral:rRNA from 1 species